rnacentral:lncRNA from 1 species
AAUUAAACAUCAUUUUAAAGAAGAAUUGAACAACCUAUAGUCCUAAUUUUUUAAAUAUAAAUAGCUAAUUGUCAUUCAAUCAAAUUCCUAAAAUUUCAAUUAGGUAUCAUUUCUAACUAAAAAAAUACAGUCAAAAAGCUUGUUUUUAUUAAAUGUAUUGUUACUCAUGUUGGAUCGGUCCUGGGACUGAUUCUCUCAUCGGUCUCCGCACCCCCUCAUCAGUCUUUUUUUUUUACUGGUCUGAUCUUUCUUACCAUUCACCGGUCCUAAGGAUCGAUUGGACGGUCUUUCAGUCAUAAGGAUCUACACAGCCGAAAGAACGUAGUUACUAACUACGUUCUUUCAGCUAUUAUAGUUAACAUCAAGGUUAAUAGAAAUACAAGGUUAUGCAUUCAUGUAUUCGGGACUUGCCAUAAUUUUCAAUUUGAGGUACUGUACAGGCUGUUGGGCAAGGUUGACUGAUUUUGAAGUUAUAGUCUAUAGAGUAUAACAGUGGUACUCUAAUAGGAAGGCUUGAAAUGGUAAUAGUUAUACUCUUUGAGGCCCUUUUAUGGCAUAACCUUGUAUUUCUAUUAACCUUGGUUACCAUAAAAGAGCGAGAAAGACAAGUCCUUGAACUGAAAAUUUUUAUUUGGACCAGACUGAUGGGACUGUUGUCUUUUGCAAACACGGAUUAGGUGUUUCACCCUGAAUAAAUUAACAUAGAGCAUCACAUGAAUCUCAAUAACUUAAGAUCCAACUGGUACACAAUAUAACACCAUUUUGUUUAAAUAACUAACGUAAAUACAUAUCCUGGGACCCCUCGAAAAAGGUUGUCAACUUCCAUAUGAUGAAUGGCUUACAAUCAGGGGUGGUUUUAGCGUAAACGGGGGCUGGAGAAUAGAUACAAUAUUUUCUUUUUUAAUUUUUUUUUAUCGAAUUACGGUUUUUUUUCUAUUCUCAUGGACAUUCCAUAAAAAGUUUAUAUUUUAUUUAAAAAAUUAUAUCUUAUGUUGACCCCAAAAUAAAUACCCACUAAAACGAACAUUGCUUGUGAUCAAAGGUCUUAAAAUAGGUCGAUGAUGACCUCUGCAAAGAUUUUAGAAACAAGUCCAUAAAUAAUUAUGUAGGAUAUUAUUCAAAUCUCAUUUACAAUAUAGUCAAUAUUAAUAGUUUGUUUUUUGUUUUAUUAGAUGAAUUUGCUAGAUUAAUAUUUUUUGGGAUGUAUUUAUUUUUCUUUCUUAAUAUAAUUUUUAUUGUAUUUGGUGAGUCAACACAAACGCAAUCUUGAA